UCCGUAGGUGAACCUGCGGAGGGAUCAUUAAAGAGUGUAAUAAUUCCCUAACCCAUGUGAACAUACCUCAUGUGCCCUCGUCAGUUCGCGCCUACCCCGUAGCGCCCUACCCUGUAGGACCUACCCGGCAGGCGCGGGUAACCCUGUCGGCGGCCCACGAAACUCAUGUUUACUCUUGAAUUCUGAACCUAUAACUAAAUAAGUUAAAACUUUCAACAACGGAUCUCUUGGUUCUGGCAUCGAUGAAGAACGCAGCGAAAUGCGAUAAGUAAUGUGAAUUGCAGAAUUCAGUGAAUCAUCGAAUCUUUGAACGCACAUUGCGCCCAUUAGUAUUCUAGUGGGCAUGCCUGUUCGAGCGUCAUUUCAACCCUUAAGCCCCUGUUGCUUAGCGUUGGGAGCCUACAGCACUGUAGCUCCCCAAAGUUAGUGGCGGAGUCGGUUCACACUCUAGACGUAGUAAUUUUUUCACCUCGCCUGUAGUUGGACCGGUCCCCUGCCGUAAAACACCCCAAUUUCUAAAAGGUUGACCUCGGAUCAGGUAGGAAUACCCGCUGAACUUAAGCAUAUCAAUAAGCGGAGGA
rnacentral:rRNA from 1 species